GCGGAUAUGGCGGAAUGGCAGACGCAACGGACUUAAAAUCCGUUACCUCCAGGUGUGAGGGUUCGAAUCCCUCUAUCCGCA
rnacentral:tRNA from 1 species